rnacentral:tRNA from 1 species
GGUGCGAUGACUGAAACACAAAUGGUGACCGUCUGCAAAACGGUAAAAUGAGGGUGGGAUUCCCUCUCGCAUCU